rnacentral:rRNA from 1 species
AUACGGAGGAUCCGAGCGUUAUCCGGAUUUAUUGGGUUUAAAGGGUGCGCAGGCGGGAGAUUAAGUCGGCGGUGAAAUUUUGCAGCUCAACUGUAAAAGUGCCUUCGAAACUGGUUUCCUUGAGUGGAGAUGAAGUAGGCGGAAUUUUUGGUGUAGCGGUGAAAUGCAUAGAUAUCACGAGGAACUCCGAUUGCGCAGGCAGCUUACUAAACUACUACUGACGCUCAGGCACGAAGGCGUGGGGAUCAAACAGGAUUAGAUACCCUGGUAGUCCACGCAGUAAACGAUGAUUACUAGCUGUUUGCGAUACAAUGUAAGCGGCUGAGCGAAAGCGUUAAGUAAUCCACCUGGGGAGUACGUUCGCAAGAAUGAAACUCAAAUGAAUUGACGGGG